GAUGAACGCUGGCGGCGUGCCUAAUACAUGCAAGUCGAGCGAACAGACGAGGAGCUUGCUCCUUUGACGUUAGCGGCGGACGGGUGAGUAACACGUGGGUAACCUACCUAUAAGACUGGGAUAACUUCGGGAAACCGGCGCUAAUACCGGAUAAUAUUUCGAACCGCAUGGUUCGAUAGUGAAAGAUGGCUCUGCCAUCACUUAUCGAUGGACCUGCGCCGUAUUAGCUAGUUGGUAAGGUAACGGCUUACCAAGGCAACGAUACGUAGCCGACCUGAGAGGGUGAUCGGCCACACUGGAACUGAGACACGGUCCAGACGCCUACGGGAGGCAGCAGUAGGGAAUCGUCCGCAAUGGGCGAAAGCCUGACGGAGCAACGCCGCGUGAGUGAUGAAGGUCUUCGGAUCGUAAAACUCUGUUAUUAGGGAAGAACAAACGUGUAAGUAACUGUGCACGUCUUGACGGUACCUAAUCAGAAAGCCACGGCUAACUACGUG
rnacentral:rRNA from 1 species